rnacentral:rRNA from 1 species
AGAGUUUGAUCCUGGCUCAGGAUGAACGCUGGCGGCGUGCUUAACACAUGCAAGUCGAACGGGAAACUUUUCAUUGAAGCUUCGGCAGAUUUGGUCUGUUUCUAGUGGCGGACGGGUGAGUAACGCGUGGGUAACCUGCCUUAUACAGGGGGAUAACAACCAGAAAUGGUUGCUAAUACCGCAUAAGCGCGCAGGACCGCAUGGUCCGGUGUGAAAAACUCCGGUGGUAUAAGAUGGACCCGCGUUGGAUCAGCUAGUUGGCAGGGUAACGGCCUACCAAGGCGACGAUCCAUAGCCGGCCUGAGAGGGUGAACGGCCACAUUGGGACUGAGACACGGCCCAGACUCCUACGGGAGGCAGCAGUGGGGAAUAUUGCACAAUGGGGGAAACCCUGAUGCAGCGACGCCGCGUGAAGGAAGAAGUAUCUCGGUAUGUAAACUUCUAUCAGCAGGGAAGAUAGUGACGGUACCUGACUAAGAAGCCCCGGCUAACUACGUGCCAGCAGCCGCGGUAAUACGUAGGGGGCAAGCGUUAUCCGGAUUUACUGGGUGUAAAGGGCGUGUAGGCGGGAUUGCAAGUCAGAUGUGAAAACCACGGGCUCAACCUGUGCCCUGCAUUUGAAACUGUAGUUCUUGAGUACUGGAGAGGCAGACGGAAUUCCUAGUGUAGCGGUGAAAUGCGUAGAUAUUAGGAGGAACACCAGUGGCGAAGGCGGUCUGCUGGACAGCAACUGACGCUGAGGCGCGAAAGCGUGGGGAGCAAACAGGAUUAGAUACCCUGGUAGUCCACGCUGUAAACGAUGGAUACUAGGUGUGGGGGGUCUGACCCCCUCCGUGCCGCAGUUAACACAAUAAGUAAUCCACCUGGGGAGUACGCCGGCAACGGUGAAACUCAAAGGAAUUGACGGGGGCCCGCACAAGCGGAGGAACAUGUGGUUUAAUUCGAUGAUACGCGAGGAACCUUACCCGGGCUUGAAUUGCAACUGAAUGAUGUGGAGACAUGUCAGCCGCAAGGCAGUUGUGAAGGUGCUGCAUGGUUGUCGUCAGCUCGUGCCGUGAGGUGUCGGCUUAAGUGCCAUAACGAGCGCAACCCUUAUCGAUAGUUACCAUCAGGUUAUGCUGGGGACUCUGUCGAGACUGCCGUCGUAAGAUGUGAGGAAGGUGGGGAUGACGUCAAAUCAGCACGGCCCUUACGUCCGGGGCUACACACGUGUUACAAUGGGGGGUACAGAAGGCAGCUACACGGUGACGUGAUGCUAAUCCCGAAAGCCUCUCUCAGUUCGGAUUGGAGUCUGCAACCCGACUCCAUGAAGCUGGAUUCGCUAGUAAUCGCGCAUCAGCCACGGCGCGGUGAAUACGUUCCCGGGUCUUGCACACACCGCCCGUCA